AUUGAACGCUGCGGCAGGCCUAACACAUGCAAGUCGAGCGAGCGGCGGACGGGUGAGUAAUGCUUAGGAAUCUGCCUCUUAGUGGGGGACAACAUCUCGAAAGGGAUGAUAAUACCGCAUACUAAUAGAUGAGCUUAAGUCGGAUUAGCUAGGUGGUGGGGUCAAGGGCUACCAAGGCGAAGAUCUGUAGCGGGUCUGAGAAGAGGAUCCGCCAAAAUGGGACUGAGACACGGCCCAGACUUCUACGGGAGGGAGGAGGGGGGAAUAUUGGGCAAAUGGGGGAACCCUGAACCAGCCAUGCCGGGGGUGUGAAAAAGGCCUUAUGGUUGUAAAGCACUUUAAGCGAGGAGGCGUUACUCGCAGAAUAAGCACCGGCUAACUCUGUGCCAGCAGCCGCGGUAAUUC
rnacentral:rRNA from 1 species